UAGAGUUUGAAUCCUGGCUCAGAUUGAACGCUGGCGGCAGGCCUAACACAUGCAAGUCGAGCGGUAGCACAGAGAGCUUGCUCUCGGGUGACGAGCGGCGGACGGGUGAGUAAUGUCUGGGAAACUGCCUGAUGGAGGGGGAUAACUACUGGAAACGGUAGCUAAUACCGCAUAACGUCGCAAGACCAAAGUGGGGGACCUUCGGGCCUCAUGCCAUCAGAUGUGCCCAGAUGGGAUUAGCUAGUAGGUGGGGUAAUGGCUCACCUAGGCGACGAUCCCUAGCUGGUCUGAGAGGAUGACCAGCCACACUGGAACUGAGACACGGUCCAGACUCCUACGGGAGGCAGCAGUGGGGAAUAUUGCACAAUGGGCGCAAGCCUGAUGCAGCCAUGCCGCGUGUAUGAAGAAGGCCUUCGGGUUGUAAAGUACUUUCAGCGAGGAGGAAGGCAUUAAGGUUAAUAACCUUAGUGAUUGACGUUACUCGCAGAAGAAGCACCGGCUAACUCCGUGCCAGCAGCCGCGGUAAUACGGAGGGUGCAAGCGUUAAUCGGAAUUACUGGGCGUAAAGCGCACGCAGGCGGUCUGUCAAGUCGGAUGUGAAAUCCCCGGGCUCAUACCUGGGAACUGCAUUCGAAACUGGCAGGUCUAGAGUCUUGUAGAGGGGGGUAGAAUUCCAGGUGUAGCGGUGAAAUGCGUAGAGAUCUGGAGGAAUACCGGUGG
rnacentral:rRNA from 1 species